AUACUACUGAGGUAAAUUACUAUAUUUCUUCCUCCUCCCAUCACCUUUUUAUGUGAUUAUAUUGAUUGGUGGUUGGUUCCCUUUUGUCUGUCAGUACUCUUUUGCCCACGUUUUUUUUUUUUCAAUUUGUAUGCGUGGCACUCUGCUUGUCUACUAAUUUUUGUCCUCCUCCCACCACCUUUUUAUGUGAUUAUAUUGAUUGGUGGUUGCUUCCCUUUUGUCUGUCAGUACUCUUUUGCCCAAGUGUGAUUUUUUUUUCAUUUGUAUGCGUUGCACUCUGUUUCUUGAAUAUUUUUGGUUGAUGAUGUGUGGUGACAUUUGUGUGUGUUACCUAGUUGUAAAGUAUGCUUAAUAUUCAGUGACUUUUCGUGGUGUAUGCUGGGUUAGACUAUGACCUGGUUGUGGAUAUACUUAAUGUGCAGUAGGGUUUAAUAAGACAGACAAGGUCAGAAAUGUGAUAAAAUGGGAGGAAGGCAAGAACCAUUAAAGCAG
rnacentral:lncRNA from 1 species